rnacentral:rRNA from 1 species
AUUGAACGCUGGCGGCAGGCAUAACACAUGCAAGGCGAGCGGGGUUUUCAGACCUCGCGGCGGCCGGGUGAGUAAUGCGUAGGAAGCUACGCGAUAGCGGGGGAUACCAGCUGGAAACGAAUGUUAAUACCGCACUAUGUCAACGGAACAAAGUGUGGGCCCUUCGGGCCUAAUGCUAGAGUAUGCGACUACGUGGGAUUCUCUAGUUGGUGAGGUAAUGGCUCACCAAGGCGACGAUCCCUAGCUGGUUUGAGAGGAUGAUCAGCCACACUGUAACUGAGACACGGUCCAGACUCCUACGGGAGGCAGCAGUGGGGAAUAUUGGACAAUGGGCGCAAGCCUGAUCCAGCCAUGCCGCGUGUGUGAAGAAGGUCUUCGGAUUGUAAAGCACUUUAAGUCGGGAGGAAGGGCUGUAGGUUAAUGCCCUGCUGUUUUGACGUACCGACAGAAUAAGCACCGGCUAACUUCGUGCCAGCCGCCGCCGUAAAAC